UACGAAGGGGGGCUAGCGUUGUUCGGAAUUACUGGGCGUAAAGCGCGCGUAGGCGGUGAUCUUUGUCAGAGGUGAAAGCCCGGGGCUCAACUCCGGAAUUGCCUUUGAAACGGGAUCGCUUGAGUCCGAGAGAGGAUGGCGGAAUUCCUAGUGUAGAGGUGAAAUUCGUAGAUAUUAGGAAGAACACCGGUGGCGAAGGCGGCCAUCUGGCUCGGUACUGACGCUGAGGCGCGAAAGCGUGGGGAGCAAACAGG
rnacentral:rRNA from 1 species